GCAGCCAUCGGCGUUGGCCAGCACAAAAGCGAGGCACGGCGAAGCGGAAGUGGCAUGGGGUGCACGUCGCUGUCUGCACGAAUGCAGCGCGCGUGCAACCAUGCGAGGAAGAAAGUGGCAUAGUGCGGUGUGCAACUGAUGAGUGGGCCUGGCUUGGUAGUGGCUACAGCGAGGUGGUUUCACGAAGAUGGGCCGGCACGAUGGGCCGUAGGGAGUUGGGCCGGCGGAAGGAGCAUGCCUGCUGGCUGGCUGGGCGCACGAGUGGAGCGGACGGCGAUUUAGGUGGGCCAGGCGGCUUAGGCGGGCUGGUUUAGAGGUUUUGGGGUUGGUAGGGUUAGAUGGAUCGUCUGGGUUUCAGCCCAAGUUAGGUUAGGUAGUUUAGGUUAUUUUGGUUUUAAUUAAAAUUUGAAUCUAGAAUUCAAAUUUGAAUUCACUCAAAUUAAAAUUCCAAAUAAAGACCAAAUAAAAUUCAAAUGGCACACUAACAUUUAUUCAACCUAGGUUUUCAAUUUAUUUCAAAUUAAUCUAGGAAUUUUGGGAGAGAUAAUAUGAAGACACUCUUAUAGUUUGGAAAUUUUCACACCACUAUCAACAAAAUUUUUGAAAUUCACCUUUUUU
rnacentral:lncRNA from 1 species